rnacentral:rRNA from 1 species
UUUAAAGAGAGUUUGAUCCUGGCUCAGGACGAACGCUGGCGGCGUGCCUAAUACAUGCAAGUCGAACGAACGGAGGAAGAGCUUGCUCUUCCAAAGUUAGUGGCGGACGGGUGAGUAACACGUGGGCAACCUGCCUGUAAGUUGGGGAUAACUCCGGGAAACCGGGGCUAAUACCGAAUGAUAAAGUUUGGCGCAUGCCACGCUUU